rnacentral:rRNA from 1 species
UACGUAGGAGACGAGCGUUGUCCGGAGUUACUGGGCGUAAAGGGUGCGCAGGUGGUUGUGCGCGUGGGGGUGAAAUCGCCCGGCUUAACUGGGCGGGGCCUUCCAGACGGCAUGACUUGAGCAGCGGAGGGGGACGUGGAAUUCCGGGUGGAGCGGUGAAAUGCGUAGAUAUCAAGAGGAACACCUGAGGUGAAGACGGGUUGCUGGGCCGACACUGACGCUGAGUGCGCGAAAGCCAGGGGAGCAAACGGG